rnacentral:rRNA from 1 species
UACGUAGGUGGCAAGCGUUGUCCGGAAUUAUUGGGCGGAAAGCGCGCGCAGGCGGUCUUUUAAGUCUGAUGUGAAAUCUCGUGGCUCAACCACGAACGGUCAUUGGAAACUGGGGGACUUGAGUACAGAAGAGGAGAGUGGAAUUCCACGUGUAGCGGUGAAAUGCGUAGAGAUGUGGAGGAACACCAGUGGCGAAGGCGACUCUCUGGUCUGUAACUGACGCUGAGGAGCGAAAGCGUGGGGAGCGAACAGG